rnacentral:rRNA from 1 species
UGGGGAAUAUUGCACAAUGGGCGCAAGCCUGAUGCAGCCAUGCCGCGUGUAUGAAGAAGGCCUUCGGGUUGUAAAGUACUUUCAGUCGGGAGGAAGGUGGUAAGGUUAAUAACCUUGGCGAUUGACGUUACCCGCAGAAGAAGCACCGGCUAACUCCGUGCCAGCAGCCGCGGUAAUACGGAGGGUGCAAGCGUUAAUCGGAAUUAUUGGGCGUAAAGCGCACGCAGGCGGUCUGUCAAGUCGGAUGUGAAAUCCCCGGGCUCAACCUGGGAACUGCAUUCGAAACUGGCAGGCUAGAGUCUUGUAGAGGGGGGUAGAAUUCCAGGUGUAGCGGUGAAAUGCGUAGAGAUCUGGAGGAAUACCGGUGGCGAAGGCGGCCCCCUGGACAAAGACUGACGCUAAGGUGCGAAAGCGUGGGGAGCAAACAGG